GAGGAAGGGAAUUUUGAAGGGCAGAUAGUGGUGGAUUUUGCAAAAAGGAUGGAAAUGGCUGUGGUAAAUACGUAUUUUAAGAAGAAGGAAGAGCACAGGGUGAGGUUUAGGAGCGGAGGAA